CUCGAUUGACCGUUCAGCGGGUGCCACAUGGCAAUACCUCAACGCGCGUCUUCCCUCCCUCAUGCGCGUUUGUACGCGCGCGUGGCCGUGCGCGUGUAACACCUUCCCAGGCACGUGAACGCGCGUGAGGACUUCAAUGAGAAAAAUCAGUAUUUGUGGACACGCUAUUGGUAUAGAAAUGCUCAACGAAAAACACGCGUCAAUCAGGUACCAGUCAAGGUGGAGGAGCGUUCGAGAGCUGUGCGGUCACAGAGGGGGUCGUUUUGGAGCGUCAGUCCCUUGUCGGUCUAUUGGAG